UUCCCCAGCCAGCAUGGCCUUUGCUAAGAAUUCUGGGAGUUGAGCUCCACACAUCUGAAAUCCACCAAUCGUGGAUGUAUUGCAUUAGAGGAAUGCCUUUAUAAACAAACACACGAAGUUUGAAGAAUUCAUCAUUAGAGUCAGAGACUGUGUCCAGGCAUGUUGGUAUCCAUGGGAACAAAAAUGACUGUUCUAGCAUCGCCACAUAUUGCCGAUGAAAAGCAAAGCUUGGCAUUUUGUGUACAUGUGGAUUAAUGUAAUUCUAUACAUACUUCUUCCCACAGAUUUGACUUUUAGCUAUUUAACUGGGAUUGUUCUGCUAGAUGUACCCCCCCUUCCAUAAAGUCACCAAGCAUGACUUGAAAGAAACUUCAGGCUUUAAAGAGCUAUGCGGAUGGCAAUAGAUUUAAUUCUCCUACUGCACAUAAGAUCUGCCCAUCUUGUUGCAUUUCCUGUUGUUGCCGAGAUCUUCCCUGGAAUAAUAAUGAACUGGGGAAGAUGAUGCUCUGUGCCUAUCCUCUUGAUGUUUUGCCCUCUAAAAUGAGGUAGGUAGGCAAUUAAGUAUUUGUGUGUGUGUGUGUGGAGGGCAGGUCCUGAAGGAUUUUCCUGCCACAACAAAGCCCUUCAUCCAGAAAAAUAAGCUCACCCAGCCCAUUCUGUGGUGGGGUUCACAUCACACAUUAAGCCAUAAUAUUGUUUGUUUGCUUUUGACUUGGCGAACACAGCCAUUUUGGCAUGUAAACCCAGUUUUGUGGCUUAACAUGAUGCACAAUCUGAGCCAUUAUGGCUUGUUCAACAAACUAUGCUUAAACCACACCCUGGCCUUUCUGCUCCAGGAUCAAACUUGGGAGAACUCCCUUUGUAUUAAGCUGGGUGAAAGUCCAUUUCCUUAAGUAAUUCAGCUGUUAAAUAAUAUGCAUCAUGGGAAAAUGUACCAAGAUUUGUACCUUGCUGCCCUCUUGUGGUGUUCUGCGUUGUGAUGCUUAAAAAAAUAAAUGUUUUGUUGUUUUCUGGCAGGCUUGGCAUUCCUCAGCAAAUUAUGGUGUGACGGGGAGCCUUCAGAUGGUGCUUGACACCCAACACCCCUCACCCUUUGCAAUGCUGGCUAUGGCUGCCGGAACACCACAAAAUCUCCUACACGUCUUCUACAGCUCUGUUCCUCCUAGAGUGCUAGCUGAAGUGGAAUCUAAGAAAAGUAAGCAUGCCUCAAGACAAGCAUCAUCUGUUGGUCUGGACAACUGCCUAGGAUGCUGAGUGCUGACAGAGGCCACAGACAUGGACUGACAGAAAAUUGAGUUUCCAGAGAGUUUCUAUUUUUCUUUCAGUUUCUAGCCCUCAUGGAAGACAUGCUUGAAAGUGUAUGGACAAUAAGAUCUCAAAAAUUAAAGAAGCUCUUGAUUAGUGUAUCUACUAGCCUGGGACAGAACCUCACACAACUGCUUGCUGUCCUUUGAGGCUAGAAAUAAUGCAAUCAAUUUUGCCACAUGUGAAAUAGAGAUAUAAAUAAUACAAGUUACCUAAUUUGUUCCUCUGUCUGCAGGAUUAGAGUUAUGUAGCUAAAGAACUUUGACUUUUAGGAUUUUUAAUUUUUUUAAAGCAUGGCGAUCACAUGGCCUGGACAAGAAGGGAGCGAUUGGAAAGACGACAGGAAAACAGUUCUGCCAGGUUUGAGGAUGUGGUGUUGAAGUCCUUUCCAUUUCUAGCAAGGAAUUCAGAAUGUGGCAGGGUCAUUUUUCGGAGGGGAACUUCUGCAACUAUGAUUAUUAGAUGGGCAGCAAAAAGCAGUGACCACAAGAAACAGGCCUUGGAGGUGCUGACUGAUGUCAAGGAGUUUAUAAUUGACAUUUGUCAGAAUAAUGAAAGAGAAACCCUCCAAACACACCACAUUGCCAUAGACUAUACUCCCAUUUUAUCCCUUCAAAAAUGCCUUCACUGAUUUCACUCAGGACCUCAA